GUUGACAUGCACAACAGCAACAACAGCCCUCGCCAAAGCAAAAGCGCACGCACACAAAGGACGUUACUUUACGCUUUUCGCUCUUUUUCUCAUGCAACUUACAAGAGGGCGACAACUCUUGGAGAAAACAGAGAUGACGGUCACCUCUGAAGAUACUGCCAAGAUUGGAGUUCACAACAGAAAUACUAACCAGCAACACAGAUAAGUUAAUUUAACCGUUCAGCAUUAUUAUAAUUUAUAGUUAUUAAAAAUAAAUAAAAUUGUGGGUGUGACA
ensembl:lncRNA